AGGGCCGGCUCCAGGCACCAGGCAACCAAGCACAUGCUUGGGGCGGCACCUGGUUUCAUAACAUUGGAAGUUCAGCUAAGCAGCCAGAGUCCAUGGAGGCCACCAUCUCUCCUCAAAAAAACUUAUAUAUCUUCACCAGAAAUUAAAAGGAGGCCCUGUGGCCUGCAAAUCAAGCAUCCUGUCACCCAGUUCUUCAGAGAAUCAUAGCAGGUGUCAUGGUCAUUGCUUUAGGUGAUGUAAAACGAAGAGUUACAACCAGUUUUCUCAUUAGGAGGACAAGAAAUAAGGUGAUAAAAGGGCUGUUUCUGAAGGUCCAGCAGCAGCACUGUGCUAUCCAGGAAACCUCCAGAGCUACAGAUCCCUGGGCCUGGUGGGCUGCUGGGCAUGAGUGAGAUAGCAGCUCUGAAAAGGGCUGGAAUUGAAGGGGAGAAGAGGAGAAUGCCUUAUGAACAGACAGGAGGACAAAGGGAGUUUGUUCUUUUAAGGGCUUGAUCCUGUGGUGCUGAGUGCUGAAGCUGAGAUAACUCAGCACCACACAAGAUUCACUCAGCACCUUGCAAAAUUGGGCCCUACACACUUACCUCUGAUUAUUGGGGUAAUGCUUUCUUUUCCUAGGGAAAGGUAAAACCUACCCCAUGAAGCAGGAAUUAUUAUUAAUAAUAAACGAUAACAUAUAGCACAUGUCCUUCCAAAGGAAACCACAGUCAUUGCUUUACAACCUGGACAGGGAUAAUCAAACAAGCCACUGAACUGCAGCCACCUCUGGGGUGGAAACAUAGCAACCAUUCAACACUUACAACACUACAAAACAGUCAGACCCUCUGUCCCUGUGCUGGCAACUACACCGGUACAGGAAUGAAUCUGUCCCUAGGCAUGUGGGGGAUUGAAAGGGGAGAUGGUAAGGGUCAAAUCCUAUAAAUGCAGUGUAGGCAGAAAACUUUCUUCUACUGAGUUUAAUAGUAAAACUCCCAUUGAUUUCACCAGGAACAGUAUUUGGCCCUUUAACUUGUCAUAUGGUCUUUAUAAAAAACCCCAGACAAAACCCUAGCCCUCCUGUUGCCUUUGCCUUGGAUCUGAUAUUUCAUUUAUGCGGAGGUGAAGCCAAAAGGAGAGUCAGAUGGCAGCAUGUGGGGUAGGGACGCCGCAGGCUGCAAGUGCUGUCAGUGGCCAUGAAUAAAAAAGGCAGCCUGAAGCCUACAGAGAACAGAGGAGUACUGUUACACGGCACUGCCAGUACUCCAGACAUGAGCUGAACGCUACUUGCGUGGUUAGUUGCUAACUACUUUAAAAAGCUGUUGCAUUCUCAUGAUAGCCAUAGGAAGCUUUGAUGGUGUGACACUUUGGCUGUCUGUAGUUGGCUGAGUAUGAAAGGUCCGACUGGGACUUAUCCAGGACAUGGGGCGUUCCAUAUGCCUGACAGAUUGUCUCAUGCCAGUUUUUUUUAAAGCAAGUUCAGUCAGAAUGACCUGGAAUGAUACAGACAUUUUCACUAACAGGUUGUGAGAAACAGGAAGGUCCAGGGGCUUGAGCAGAGCUUGCGGGGGGGACAUGAGUUCAAUUCCUGCUACAAAUACCCUGUGUGACCCCGAGCUAGUCACUCCAUUGCUCUGUGCCUCAGUUCCCCUUCUGCCCAAUGGGACAAUGGUUAACCUAUCUCACAGGAGUGGUGUGAGGAUAAAUACAUUAGAAAUUGUGAAGUACUUAGAUGAUGCAGUGAUGGCGGCUGUAUAAAUACUUAAGACAGAUAAAAUUUAAGGCCCUGAUCCUACAUAUACUUAUGUACCUGUUACAUGCUGUGGGCUUGAUCCUGCUCCAAUUGAAGUCAGGAGCAGAACUCACUUUGAUGUCAAUAGUGCCCUAGUCCAGCAGUUCUGAAACUUCAUUGCAUCACGACCCCCUUCUGACAAUAAUUUACUACAUGACCCUGGGGGUGGGGGAGGAGCCCCAUUUCCCUACUGUGUGGAUGAAAGGAGGCUAGAGGCCUGCCACCCCAGGUGGGGGUGGAGCUCGGGCUUCAGCUUCAACCCUGGGUCCCAGCAUGUCUAGUGCUGGCCCUGGCAACCCCAUUAAAAUGGGGUUGCGGCCCACUUUGGAAUCCUGACCCACGGUUUGAGAACAGCUGCCCUUGUC